ensembl:lncRNA
GUGUUGGCUUUCUCUUCAGAGCUGAAGCACACUAUAGCUGGAGUUACUUGAAUAUAGGUUAGAGAGUCUGCAGUUCCCUUGUCAAGAGGAGGAAUGAGAAGUCUGCUUUAGGGAAAAGGAGGAGCGGUGCAUGGAAAUCACACAAGAUUUCACCAGCAUGUGUCACUGUGCAUCCGGGCACCACACUCACCACCAGAGCUGCGUAGUUUGUCCCUGCAGGGAAGAAAGGAAAGGCAGAGAGCAGAAUACAGGAGAUACUGAGAGCAAUUGCUGGGAGCAGCAGCUUGGGUUGUGUGAUGCAAGAGGAUGUUCAAAGAGGAACCAAGCUUUGUGUGCUUGCAUAAUGUGUAGAAGUGCCUGCAAACACACGGGAAAGUUUUACAUUUCUGCUC